GGAGGGGUGCUAGAGUGGUUGAAUAGGCAGACCUGGAAAGUCUGUAUAUCCGAAAGGGUAUCGAGGGUUCGAAUCCCUCCUCCUCCG
rfam:Candidatus Curtissbacteria bacterium RIFCSPHIGHO2_01_FTLL_41_11 rifcsphigho2_01_scaffold_6329, whole genome shotgun sequence.